rnacentral:lncRNA from 1 species
AGACCCAAUGUGAAACUCUUCAAUGCUGUUGCUGUUGAGGAUUUAAUUGUGAGGGGAGAUAGAGUGGCCGGAGUGGUAACAAAUUGGGCUUUGGUAUCGAUGAACCAUGACACACAAUCGUGCAUGGACCCGAAUGUUAUGGAGGCUAAGGUGGUGGUGAGUUCUUGUGGGCAUGACGGCCCAUUUGGGGCUACUGGAGUUAAGAGGCUGAGGAGUAUCGGAAUGAUUGAAAGUGUGCCGGGGAUGAAGGCGCUAGAUAUGAAUGCGGCUGAGGAUGCCAUUGUUAAGCUUACCAGGGAGAUUGUGCCCGGGAUGAUUGUUACCGGUAUGGAAGUUGCAGAGAUUGAUGGAUCACCAAGAAUGGUAAUUAUAUUGUUUAUUUUUUGGUUGAGUUUAGUUUGUUAGACUUUAAAAUUAAAUAUACAUUUGAAGUGAAUUUGCGAAAUUAAUUUUAAAUUAGUAUAAACUCCUAUUAUAACUACUAGUAUUUUUUUAGUUAGUUUCAAUAUAUAUAGUUAUUUGUACUAUAAUUUAAUAAAUUCACCAAGAAUGGUAAUUAUUUUGUGGUAGAAUUUUUGUUAGAUUCAAAAUUAGAGAUAUAUUUUAAUUUUUUGAUCGAUUUGUAAAGUUUUAAAAUUCAAAAUUGAUAUAAACUCUUUUAGUUUCUAAUAAUAAGUUCUACUAAAAUUAAAUAAAUGCUAAUUUUGAAUUUAGAAAUUUAUUUCAAAAAGUCAAAAUUUAUCUUCAGUUUUGGACUGAGGGAGUAAUUAAUUUACUAAUUUAUUGGGAUUUAAUUAUAAUUAGAAAUGCUGAAUUUUGAUUUUUGUUUGAUGAAAUGUAUAUUUUGGUAUGCAGGGUCCAACAUUUGGGGCUAUGAUGAUGUCUGGACAGAAGGCUGCCCAUUUGGCAUUGAGGGCAUUAGGGCUGCCAAAUGCUUUGCAGGAGGCCCAACCAGAGUUCAUUAUUGCAGAUGCAGCAGAUGAGAUUGUUGAUGCCUAAACAUUUUAAUUGUUUUGGAAUAUGAUUUCUUCGAAGAAAAUCGGGCAAUAAGUCUUUGUCCAAGAAUAAAUAAGACUGUAAAAUGAGUAAACAAUUCGGACUCGAUUCGUACUCGUUCGAUUAAAAGUUUGAUUCGAACUCGACUCGAAAUAUAAAUGAUUUAAAUAUGAGCA